CGCGCGCGGCGUGCUUCCAAUGGGUCGUCGAACCCUAGACCCCUUUCCCCAAUCCCACGACCGCCUCCAUCCUCUCGUGCUCCACCCCGAGCGUGCCCGGGCUCCGCCUCCUCCUCCACCAUCCCUUCUCUUCUCAAUCUUCCUCCUGUCGCAGCCGCCUCCUGUUCUCCCUCUCUUCCUCCUCCUCGCCCCAGGCGACCCCUCUCGCGCUGCUCAUCUCCACCUCAUAUGUGGCAUCUUCACUGCCGCCAUAGAUCGAGGAGGACGGCGUGAUGACGACCAUGAUGCAUCGGACAUCCCGAUCGAUGACACCAUGGAAGCCAUGAGAGCUGGCCGAGGAAAAGGGGGCAGGGCCAUAGGCCAUGAAGGGCACGGCGGCUGUGGGCGGAAGCAGCAUGGGUUGAAGGAGCAGCGGAUGUGGGCGGGGUCGGAGGUUGGGGGAGACUCGUCGGCUGGGCGACAGCGAGUGCCGGUGAGUGCUAGCAUGUGUCUCCAGAAGCGUCCUCUCCUACAAGGCAGGCAAGGCUGACGUCGUCGCCCUCGCAAGUCCUCCUCCCAUCCCUUUUGCUCCCCCUCCCCUGCCUCUUCACCUUGCCUUUGAGUCGGACGCAAUGUUCUACGAUCUAUUGCAUCUCCGUUCUCGUUAAGGAGAGGGGAGGCGGCCAAUGACAGGGAGAAGGAUCAGGCCGUCGAGGAGUGCAAGCAGAAGAAUAAAUAGCACGGAGAACAUAUAAGUGCUCUAUGUGUGUCUAAGGGCUCCAAGAGAUGCAGUCAUAGACAGUGACUGGUCCCUGAAGUUUGGGACGUUAAGGAUAAAAGCAAGCAGUUUUCAGAAACUUUUAGUUGUGGCUCAUGGGUUGCAGCAACUGGGAAACCAUUGACAAAUGUGGUCUCAGUUGGAGUUGGUGGUAGCUUCCUUGGACCUCUGUUUGUGCAUGCAGCUCUCCAGAUUGACCAGAAAGCAGAAGAGUCCGCCAAAGGCUGGCAACUGAGAUUGUAAGCGUGUACUUAGGGUAUGUUUUUGUAUUUCUUUCGCUGACACCUGUUACAUGUUCUUCUCGCACUUCCUAUGGAUGAUCAAAAAUAUUAAAUGUGAGUAAGUAGAGGCUUCCUUUUUGUCUUUCUGCACCAUUCAUGCAACCCUAACCAGGAAUUAUUUCAUUAUUGGAGUCUUUCAUUGUAUAUAUAACUGUAUAUUGAUGCAAGGUGGGAGAAGAAGGAGGUGGCUGGCCUUUAUUGUGUUUUGGUGUGGUGCUCUCCUAUUUAAUGGUAGAUAUGAUGUAUAGGUUCAAGCAUGUGAUUUUUCUUUCAGUGCAUAUUUGUGCUUUACGAUGUUUGAUGCAUACAUAGUUGAACCUCUUACUCCAUGUAAUACUUUGCCAAAGAAGAAUUUAUUAAUGUUGGUGUUUUUUCUCUUUUCAGAUUUUAGCCUGGGUGCAUAAACAUACAUGCCGCACAUUAUAUUCAAAUUUCAGUGCAAGAUUAAACUAGGGAUAAAUCAUUAUGGAAGGGAAAUGAAUGAAUAACAAACUGUAUAGAUUUAUUAUCAUAUCAUUUAUUUUUGAUUGCAUGAUCUUAAUUGCUCAUCUCUGAAAAUAUUUUAGGCUCUUGCUCUUGGAAUAUUAGACUGACGUGGUGUUGCUUUAUGAAUAAAUGGCGUGCUAACUUACUGGUUUGAUUUAGGUGUGUAGGCAGAGGAAACAAAAGAAUGAUACUCCCAGGUUUAGGCAUGCACAUGGUCACUGAUCACAAAGUAGGUAGGAACAUGUGCAGUAUUGUGAUUUUCAGCAAGAGGAAGAGAAACAUAGUUAAUUGUACGGAUUUUAAGCUACACUAUGUGAUGUUGCUCUAUUAUAAAGGCCUUGCUUAACUGCUUGGUUUGCAACAUGUAUUGCAUUUCCAGGGAUUAUCCUUUUGCUUAUUUAGUAUUUCCUAUGUUCUGUGAAGAUUAAUUUUGGCCCAUACAGUUUCCGGUGACUAGAAGUCUGAAACUGAAGACAGGGCAUAUUGUUUUGGUUAUGAGUGGUUGGAGAUAUUGUGGCUUGAUGUCCCUAGAGUUGUCAGACGCUUCCAAGAUCGGUGAGCCUGAUUUCUUCUGCAAUUCUUCCACCACAGUACAUGAAAAGGAAUAUGUUCUACCUAUUGGCACCAUUUCUUGUGGAGGAUUGGUGCUUCCCCUUUAUUUUUUCACACUUUGGUGUCCUUGAGUUCAGAAUAGAUUCACCUUUGUUCUGAUUCUGCGCACACGUCGAGCGACGGUGAGCACAUUGGACGGCAACACACCCAGGUGAUGUGAAGGCUAGCUACUAUGAUCAAGGAAAUAACAUGUAUCUGUGUGGUUUGUUCCUACCGUUGAUCGGCCAUUGCUGCGUUUAAGUAAAAAAACUCUUCGCUUUGGGGUUUUGGAAUAAUCUUCAGGAAGUUGGGGACGAGUUAGUAGAACUUAUGGAAAUGUCGAUACUGUAGCUCAAAGUACAAUCGCUACUGUUUGCAUGUUCUUAGCUGGAAAAGUCGAAGAAACACCUAGGCCUUUGAAGGAUGUCAUCCUGGUUUCUUACGAGCUUAUUCAUAAAAAGGAUCCUGCUGCUGGUCAGAAAAUCAAGCAGAGGAAUAAAACUAUAUUCUAACCUACGAGGAGGCUGGGCACGUCUUCUAACCCGCAGCAGACUGUAUAGGCAGCGGGAGCGCCGGUCCCGUUGCCGGUCCAGACCAUGGGCGCAGCUUGGUCGAGCUAUAACGAGUGCAUCUGAUUCCAACUCAUCAAGGAUAAAGAAUAAGGGGCAUUGUCGUGGUUGUUGCUGAAGGUGAUGGUCAGGAGCUGAUUGCCGGGACUGAUGACAAGAACGGAGAGCAGGAUGAGAAAAAGAUGCACGGCCAAGUUUCUCAUCAUGAUAACCAUGUUUUUAAACUUGCUAAAAAAAUACAACCACGCCAACUGUACUCUCUCAUCAUAGUGGCCAUAUUUUCAAACUGAACAUAUUCGUAUUAUGCAAAGUUUCCCUUUUCCCAGCCUAUUAUUUAACAAUGUAAUAAACAUGUUUAAAAAAUAGCAUGAUUUAGUUGAAGGUUCUUGCAGCAUGAAACUAUUUUCAUCAACAGCUUGUCUUCAGCAGGUCUCUGUGCCAUUUGGCGCAACGGGUCAACUAGUACAAAUAAUGUAAAACUAUAUAUACCUCGUAAGUUUCAGCGGAAACAAUCAAACGGGUGUGGAGUCCUGAUAUGUCUCCAACGUAUCUAUAAUUU